GGCCCCGGCCCCGGCCCCGGCCGUGUUCCCGUGGCGGCCCGGCUGCCGGCCCGGCCUCUGGCCGAGCGCUUCCGCCGCCUCGCGCCGGGAGCAGGGAGCGCCUCGCGGGGAUCGGCAACAGCCGCUGCGGCCUGCCUGAAGGGCGGGCGCGCUUCGGCGGCUGCCCGGUGCCGGGACCCGCGGCUCGCGGCAACCCCGCCGGGACGGUGGGCGAACGACGGCGGCGGGGCCGGCCUCGGCGCCUCUGUCGUCCCCAGGGAAGCCGCUGCGGCCGCCAGCCUCGGCGGACGGCGCCUAUGGGCGAGGGCACCGGCACGCAGCAGGAGGAGCCUCCCCCGGUGUCACGGGCGCGGCGGCCGGGGGCAGCGGGGCCCCCGGCAGAGCCGCGCGGCGGGACGGAGCCACACCACAGCCGAAACCGGGCCUGGAGACCGCCGGCUUCCGGCUUCCUGCACGGCCGGUGCUUAGACUGACACCGCGACUUGGUUUUCCUGCCGGUGGCUGCUGUCACUGCUGCUGAAAGCUCUGGAAAGACAUGAAGGAGAAGCAGCUAAAUUUCUCCGUGCUUCUUAAAAUACCUUAAUAGAGAGGGUAUGUAAACUCAUGAGUGUUCUUGUUGCAUUCCUGUGCCUUUGGUUCGUCUUGAAACCUAAAGCGACAGAGCAAAGUUGUGCUGCCUUCCUUGUGUCCUACGGACAUGUUGUUCCUCUCUAAAUCACAGGCAGAAAACAAGAAUCCUGAAGGCCUGAAUUACAUUGCUGAAUACUUGGGUUGCCCAAUGGAAAAACAUAUCGAAUUCUUCUGAAAUGAACUUUGAAAUGGGAUGUCUGCAUCUGUGUCUUGGAUAAUAGGAAUCUGGACAAUCCAAAGGUCCAAAACUUGAAGGAAUUCAGUCUACAGAAACUGAGGUGGAGCAAACUGCAUUGGAGCAAGACACUGAAAAAUGGAAAUUCUCCCUGCCAUGAAAUAUGCUACUCUCAAAACAGGAUGAGAUAUUCUUCGUUAAAUGGAGCAUGAUUGUUUCACUCAAAGAGAGGAGCUACAUUAUUCAAACCAUUCUGACUUUUCCUGGGCAUGAGUUGAAUCUCAGGAUCAACCUAAGACAAUGCAAGAACACAAGCCAUGAAGUCAGGAAUUUAGAUAAAAGCAAGUGUCUUACCUCUAGUGGUUUUUUUUCUUAGCAAGGAGUUCUGCCUUAUGUGAUCUGGAGUAGACACACUUCUUGUAUUCAUAAUAACAUUCGUCCUGUCUCUCUGUUGUUCGAGUCAAGUAGCAGAACAAUUGGCUGACUAAUUCAAAGUAGACAUGGAAUGAGACCUCUCUUCAUGGAUGACUCUUUUUCUCAUUUGUGGGGAGACAUAGCUCCUGGCUUUCUACUUUCUGGAACAGUCAUUUAAUGAGCAGUCAGCGAGUCAGUCCUUACAAGACAUGCAGACCAAAAUGUUCGGAUGCAUCUACCUAAACGUGUAUGGGAGGCGCUGACCUGAAAGUCCAACAUCCUUUUCCAUAGUGCCAAAUGUCAACCUCGUGCUUGCCUGUCUCAUGGGAAAGUCACACCAUGGAUUUAAAUUAAUUAUUUCAAUCUAGAUACUAUUCUCAAUAAGACACUGGCUGUCAGAAGUGACUUUGUAAAUUAGCUUGCAGAAGACUGGAAAGGGAAGGAAUAGAUGAGAACAAGGAGACAUCCUGAAGGAAGAACCAGGAAAUUGUCAGCAGAAUGUCUGGAUGUUGAGGAUCCUCCUUCUGCACCAGUCAGGAUUCCCCCAUCCUGAGUCUAUCUUUCCCUAAUGAACUAAGCAAAGGAAGGAAUUAACAGACGAGAAAAAAAAAUUACAAAAUGUCAGUAUACCACUUCUUCACCACUUUGGGCUUAAAACAGAAAAUGUUCUGUGCCUUUUUGAGAAUGAUGUACAGAAGAGCCCACAAGAAGCUAGUAGAUGUGGAACAGUAGUGGAGUCUUAAAAGAAUUUAGCUGACAAACUUGGAAGGGUUAUGAAUGGCAUGAACUGAUCAGAGAUUUACAGUUUGGCCAAGUUGCAUGGUUUCCCCCAGGAAUUAUGGGAAGGAUCCAAGCCUGAAGGCUUCUUUCCUUCUAAACUGAUUGCAUGACAUUUUAGUGGCCUCUACCAAGAUGAGAAGGCUUGCAGGCUUCCUAACAACAUGACUAAUGAGCAGAAUUUAUUUUGUUCGUGAAUAAAUAUUUUUUCCUAUCUCAUUAUUUGAAAAGUGUGGACUGUGUUAUCUGUUCAGUUCAGCGUUUUCUUAAACCAGCCCAAUGGACUUGUCUAACAUGAGUGCAGCUCAAGUUAUUUCAGUUUGGCAAACUUGCAAGCAACUGAAACCAUGAUCUUGUAGUGAUCACAAAGCUACUAGUGAUCUUGUAGCUUUGGGAAAUCUCAGGUGUAGGUGUCUCUUAGAAGUAUCAACCAGGUGGAUGGGGCUGUGAUACAAAUGAAAAGCUGAACAGCCAAAUGAUCACAUCUGAAAGAGAACACAGCUGGGAAAUUCUAGCGAGGGAGGAAGGCUCCAUAGGCUCUUCCUAUAAAAACAUCUCUCAGUGACUGUCAAUAGAGAACUGCUCCUCUGUCCUAUGAAUACUACCGUGUGUUAAACGUCUUUUAUCAUCUCCGAAGGCAUUCAUCUACCUUAACUUUAGAUGCAGGCAGAUACAGUACCCCAGAACUCUAAAAUGCCUUUCUGCAUCAUGUGAAGUUGACAUCAAAGAGAACAGGCCCGUCUGCUUUGGUGGCAGAGGAUGAGAGGAGCUACGCAGAUGCAUAGCAUCUUGCCUGCUGUACAACUGCAUGAUGCGGCUGCAGGAAGACGAUCAAUGUGACAAUUACAAGCACGUUGGCAAGAGAUGGUAUAUGGAGCAAAAGCACUGUAGCAGCUAACAGACUUGUAGUGAGAAGCAGACAGUCCUGCUGUCAGUGCACACCUCCAAAGACACUCCCUAACCUGAGCAGGGACUGUUGGGGAAGCUGGAGGUUCUCAAGAGACAAAAGAAAAUGGAAGCUGUGUGGUGUGGCAUUUUUUUCAGCAACUUCACCAUGAAGUUAUUUGUUCUUGUCACUCAGAUCUGCCAUCCAGACGUGGUUAUUUUAAUUAAAAGGAAGCAGCUCAGUAGAGGUUGCACCAGCAUAGUGUGAUCAUCUCAUGUGACAACUUGACCAGUCCUCAGUAGUCCUGUAAUCCCAUCAGUGUCUAAUCUGGAGGCUGUGUGGAGAUGUUGCCAUGCUUGUUCAGUAUGUCCUGAGCUCUUGUUCUUCUUGGAGUCUGUCUGUCUUUAGUCUGAGCUAAUGAUUGAGAUAGUACAUGUUCUUUUCUGACAUGAGCCUAAAUAUUUCAAAAAUCCUGCCUUUGCUCUGUAAAGGCAGCUUUGCCUGUGUGCCUCUCCCAAAUGAUUUCUCUGUCAUAUCUCCACCUAACCUGACCUGACUGGGAAGAGCAAAAUAUCCAUGGGCUCACAAGGAGCGUGGUAGUGACGUGUUUCCUACAGUCAUGAGGGGGCAGUGGGUAUGUGAAAAGCCAAUGGAAAGACGAUGUCUCUGAUCUGAACUGAAAGUUAACUCAGAUGCUGCAGCGGGCAUGUCAGCAGUUGAAACAUAGUGUUAAUGACAAGUGUGACGUUGUGGGCAGGCAGACAGCCCUGGGCUGAGAUUAACUGAAGGGAUAGCAGUGAAAGAAACCACCAGGAACUGCAGAAAGUGGAGAGGCUAAUGUGGGGCCAGCCCUGACCUGGAGCUAAGAUGAUGGAGGGAGCAACAACCAGACAGAAGUGUGAGAGGUAGUGUCAGACCUCCCCUGGGUGGAGAGUGAGGGUGGGUGCUGGCUUAGGGAUCAUUCAGCAAAGCUAUUACUAAUUAAGGGCUAAUUACUAAUUAAGGGCUAGGGGGAUCAGGUAAGGGGAAGAGGCCUUUUCUCACUCUCUCUACACAUUCAUGACCAUUGGAGCUGUAGUUAGUGGUGCUGCCAUAGGCCCACGAGGAUGCCCAGGGCUCCUAUCUGCACUGGAGCAGAGUCAGUGGUGUAGCCAAGAGCCAGGAGAAGCUAUGGUCAAAUACAUGCAACCACCUUAUUGUGGUGUCGAUAUGCAGGCUGCACUACACAACUGACACAGGGCUGGUCAGAUCCCCGUUGCUUGUCUGCACAUGGACAAUACGAUAGCCAGUCUUCCAGGUUUAUGGAACUGUGUCUCUGCAGUACAUGCAGGUAUUUGGCUCAAAUGUGGAGGUAUGCCUUGCCAGGAGGAGCACCACCAUUCCCAGAUGCGUGCCACUAGACCUCUCAGUGCAUCUCCGUGCCACCAGCAGUCAUCCCAACUCCAAACCCUACAUGGGAAAGCUGCCUGAAAAAGGGGAGAAAACUUUUGCAUCAGGAAUGACUCAGGACCUUGGUAUAUUGCAUUUUUAAAUAUUUAUUUCAGUGAUCUUAUAAAUGUUUUAUUUGAAGAAAAAUACUGUAAUUGGCCAAUAUUCCACAAAAUAUAAAUAUUUUGCUCUAAAACAGU